AGAGAACAAUAUCUGCUAGCGGUGGGCUUGGGCCGUUACAAAUGCAUAUAAUUUUUGCUGAAUUACAAUAUAAAUAAGUGCAUGGGAUUCAUU